AGCUGCGUGGUGAGCACAAAGCGAACUAUUCUUUCGCCUUUUACUAAAGAAUACCGUGUGCACUCCACACUAAACAGCAUACCCUAAUUUUUUAAGGGUAUUUUCUCUUUGUGAGAAAAU
rfam:Hordeum vulgare subsp. vulgare, WGS project CAJW01000000 data, contig: morex_contig_159711